AGCACAAAGGUUUGGUCCUGACUUUACUGUCAGCUUUAGCUAGAUUUACACAUGCAAGUAUCCGCCCCCCUGUGAGGAUGCCCUUAGUACCCUUCUCGGGCACAAGGAGCCGGUAUCAGGCACACAACACAUGUAGCCCACAACACCUUGCUUAGCCACACCCCCAAGGGAAUCCAGCAGUGAUAAAUAUUAAGCCAUAAGUGAAAACUUGACUUAGUUAAAGCUAAGAGAGCCGGUAAAACUCGUGCCAGCCACCGCGGUUAUACGAGAGGCUCAAGUUGACAGACAACGGCGUAAAGCGUGGUUAAGGAAAAUAUGUAACUAAAGCGGAACCUCCUCCUAGCUGUUAUACGCUUCCGAGGAAGUGAACCCCAACUACGAAAGUGGCUUUAUCCAACCUGAACCCACGAAAGCUAAGAAACAAACUGGGAUUAGAUACCCCACUAUGCUUAGCCUUAAACAUUGAUUGUUUACUACAUCAAACAUCCGCCUGGGAAUUACGAACAUUAGUUUAAAACCCAAAGGACUUGGCGGUGCUUAACAUCCACCUAGAGGAGCCUGUUCUAGAACCGAUAAUCCCCGUUUAACCUCACCCCCCCUAGCUUUUUCCGCCUAUAUACCACCGUCGCCAGCUUACCCUGUGAAGGACUAAUAGUAAGCACAAUCGGCACAGCCCAGAACGUCAGGUCGAGGUGUAGUGAAUGGGAGGGGAAGAAAUGGGCUACAUUCGCUGCCCACAGCGAACACGAAUGCUACACUGAAACAUGUAGCUGAAGGAGGAUUUAGCAGUAAGCAGAAAGCAGAGUGUUCCGCUGAAGCCGGCUCUUAAGCGCGCACACACCGCCCGUCACCCUCCCCAAGCAACUGGACCUAAAAUUUCUUUAAACCCUAACAACCGCGAAGGAGAGGAAAGUCGUAACAUGGUAAGCGUACCGGAAGGUGCGCUUGGUUAAAC
rnacentral:ncRNA from 1 species